GGGAAUGUAGCUCAGUUGGUAGAGUAUUUGCCUUGCAUGCACAGGGCCCUCGGUUCAAUCCCCAGCUCCACCA
rnacentral:tRNA from 1 species